UGGGGAAUAUUGCGCAAUGGGCGGAAGCCUGACGCAGCGACGCCGCGUGGGGGAUGACGGCCUUCGGGUUGUAAACCUCUUUCGCCAUCGACGAAGCCUUUGGUUUGUGCUGGGGGUGACGGUAGGUGGAGAAGAAGCACCGGCCAACUAUGUGCCAGCAGCCGCGGUAACACGUAGGGUGCGAGCGUUGUCCGGAAUUAUUGGGCGUAAAGAGCUCGUAGGCGGUGUGUCGCGUCGGCCGUGAAAACUUUCAGCUUAACUGGGAGCGUGCGGUCGAUACGGGCAUCACUUGAGUUCGGCAGGGGAGACUGGAAUUCCUGGUGUAGCGGUGAAAUGCGCAGAUAUCAGGAGGAACACCGGUGGCGAAGGCGGGUCUCUGGGCCGAUACUGACGCUGAGGAGCGAAAGCGUGGGGAGCGAACAG
rnacentral:rRNA from 1 species